AUUCUAGUUUAUAACUGAAAAAUGUACAGCGCUGUAGUGCAUGCAUUUUGAUAUAACAUUUGAUAUAAAUUCGCUUUUUAUUAUACUAAAAUAAAAUUAAAGUGGAGUUUUAAGCAUUUAUACUUGGUGUAUGCUCCCCAUGUGCACUUUAAUAGAAUAUUAGAAUAAUUGGGAUAACUAUUAACAGGCCUACUUUAUGAUAUGAUAUGAUAUGCACGUAACGAUUUUUCAUAAAUGGCAAUAGCGUGAAUACAUGCAUUCACGUGCAGUAAUUGUGCCCGCAUAUUUAAGAGUCUUAAGCGCGUGUUUCCUCCAUGCACUAACCUCUCCUGUGUUAAUCAGGUGCCUGUGUGAGCUGCUCCAUUAUGAUUGCACUGUGAAAGGAGGUUGAUGCUAUCUUUGGUUAUCUAGCUGUAUGAGUGUUUCUAUGCCGUCAUAAAGCUAGAUAACCGAAAGUAGGAACGGCCUCCUCUGCUGCAGGACAGCAGCACACGCGCACGUGCCCGGUGGAGCCCCUGUAAGAACACAGCUCCUCCCUGAUGCAGCGUCUCUGUGAGAGACCGGAGGACCAUUCACUGGAACAAAACCAUCUGACCAGCCCGCACCCCCCACCCCAUCCGACUCCCACCAUCAACGGAAGCGUUUAGUGCCAUGUGUGCCCCCAGAGAGGGGGCCGCGGGAAGGGGGAGAAAAAAGAAGAAGAAGACGACGACAAGCAAGAGGCUGCAGCUUGUGUGCCAGUGGGGACAAAGAGGCUGCUGCCAGUUGCCACGGACCACCCCCUCCACCCUCCACAAACCCCCAAGCCCACCCCCUCCACCCCCCAGAUGCUGAAGAUUGGAGCCCAGAACGAAAGGGUUGUGUGCGAGGAAGCCAUCUUGAUGGAGAAGCUGGCUGCCUGCUUCCUAAAAUGGCUGUGUUGGCAUGA
rnacentral:lncRNA from 1 species